CACGUAGGGGGCAAGCGUUGUCCGGAUUUAUUGGGCGUAAAGAGCUCGUAGGCGGUUCGCUAAGUCGGGUGUGAAAACUCUGGGCUCAACUCAGAGACGCCACCCGAUACUGGCGUGACUCGAGUCCGGUAGGGGAGCAUGGAAUUCCUGGUGUAGAGGUGAAAUUCGUAGAUAUUGGGAAGAACACCGGUGGCGAAGGCGGCCAACUGGACCACAACUGACGCUGAGGCGCGAAAGCGUGGGGAGCAAACAGG
rnacentral:rRNA from 1 species